GACGAACGCUGGCGGCGUGCCUAACACAUGCAAGUCGAGCGAACAGACGAGGAGUUUGUUCCUCUGACGUUAGCGGCGGACGGGUGAGUAACACGUGGAUAACCCACCUAUAAGACUGGGAUAACCUCGGGAAACCGGAGCUAACACCGGACAAUAUAUUGAACCGUAUGGACUAAUAGUGAAAGACGGCUUUGCUGUAACUUCUAGCUGGAUCCGCGCUGCAUUAGCUAGUUGGUAAGGUAACGGCUUACCAAGGCAACGAUGCGUAGCCGACCUGAGAGGGUGGUCGGCCGCACUGGAAGUCAGACACGGUCCAGACUCCUACGGGAGGCAGCAGUAGGGAAUCGUCCGCAAUGGGCGGAAGCCUUACGGAGCGGCGGCGCGUGUGUUAUGAAGAUCUUCGGAUCGUGAAGCUCUGUUAUGAGUGAAGAACAAAUGUGUAAGUAACUAUACACGUCUUGACGGUACCUAAUCAGAAAGCCACGGCUAACUACGUG
rnacentral:rRNA from 1 species